ACCCAGCUGGCUCAGUAGGUAGAGCAUCUGACUCUUGAUGUCAGGGUCAUGAGUUCGAGCCCCACACUGGGUG
rnacentral:tRNA from 1 species